rnacentral:rRNA from 1 species
AUUGAACGCUGGCGGCAUGCUUUACACAUGCAAGUCGAACGGCAGCACAGGGAGCUUGCUCCCGGGUGGCGAGUGGCGCACGGGUGAGUAAUACAUCGGAACGUGUCCUGUUGUGGGGGAUAACUGCUCGAAAGGGUGGCUAAUACCGCAUGAGACCUGAGGGUGAAAGCGGGGGAUCGCAAGACCUCGCGCAAUUGGAGCGGCCGAUGCCCGAUUAGCUAGUUGGUGAGGUAAAGGCUCACCAAGGCGACGAUCGGUAGCUGGUCUGAGAGGACGACCAGCCACACUGGGACUGAGACACGGCCCAGACUCCUACGGGGGGCAGCAGUGGGGAAUUUUGGACAAUGGGGGCAACCCUGAUCCAGCCAUGCCGCGUGCAGGAUGAA